GAUAUAUUCUCGGUGAAGGAGUUAGCAACUGCAAUUUGCGCUCAAACCUGGCUGUUCCAUUAACUUUUAUAAUGAACCUGAAAACUGAGUGCUGGAGUAUUAUUAAAGCUGCUAUUUUACAGGUGGUGGGAGAGAGGAUCUUGAAGUUGUCUUCCUCUUUCUGGCUUAUUUCACUUAACAUAACAUCCUCCAAGUUCAUCCAUAUUGCUCCAAAUUACAGAAUUUCCAUAUUUUUAAAGAAAGAAUAGUAUUUCAUUGUGUAUAUUUACCACAAUUUUCUUUAUUCUUUCUUCUAUUGAUGGAUACAGGUUGAUUCCAUACCUCGGCUAUUGUGAAUAAUGCAGCAAUGACUAUGAGAGGGCAGAUAUCUCUUCUACAUAUUGAUGGCACUUCUUUUGGAUUUAUACCCAGUAGUGGGAUUGAGGGAUCAUAUGGUAGUUCUAUUUUUAAUUUUUUGAAGAACAUCCACACUGUUUUCUGUACUAUUGCCACCAACAGUAUGCAAAGAUUCAGAUUUUCUCCCCAUUCUCUCUGAUACUUAUCCUGCAUCUUAUUGUUAGUAGCCAUUCUAACGGGUGUGUGCUUAGAUUCCACUCUGGUUGUAAUUUGCAUUUGUCUGUCGAUUCAGGAUUGUAUGUGGUUUCAUUUUAGAUUUUAGAUUUUUUUUCUAUUUUUGGGAAGAAUGUCAUUGAUAUUUUCAUAGAAAUUGCACUGAAUCGCUACAUCACUGUGGGUAAUACUGAUAUUUUAACAAUAACAAUCUUUUUUAUUGUUCUUUUAGUCUCAAAUUCAUCUAUUUAUUUCCUAAUCUUUAUUUUGUUCCUUCUAGUAAUUUGGAGUUUGGUUUAUUCUUGCUUUUCUAGUUAUUUGAAGUGCAUCAUUGGGUUAUUUAUUUAAAAUAUUUCUAUUUUUUUGAUGGAGGAGCUCAUUACUACACAUUCCUCUCUUUCUACAGCUUUGCUGUAUACCAUAGAUUUUAGUAUGUUGUGUUUCUACUUUCAUUUGUUUUAAGAAAAUUUUAAAUUUUUUUCUUAAUUUUUUCAUUUACUCAUUGAUGUUUCAAGAGCAUGUUGUUUAAUUUCCAUGUGUUUUUAUAUUUUCUGAAGUUCCACCGGUUACUUAUUUCUAGUUUUAUUCCAUUGUUGUCAGAAAAGAUACUUGAUAUAAUUGCAAAUUUUUUAAUUUGUUGAAAUUUGUUUUAUAGCCUAACUUAUUGUCUAUCCUGUAGAGUGUUCUAUAUGCUGAUGAGAAGAAUGUAUAUUCUGCAGCAAUUGGAUGAAAUGUUCUAUAAAUGUCAGUUAGGCUCAUGUGGUCCAGGGCAUGGUUUAAUUUCAAUAUUUCUUCAUUGAUGUGUACAUUAUUGAGAGUGGAGUGCUGAUGUCCUCUACUAUUAUUAUUUUGAAGUUUAUCUGUCCAUUAGAUCUAUUAAUGUUUGCUUUAUAUAUUUUGUGCUCUGGUGUUAUGUGCACAUCUAUUUAAAAUUGUUAUAUCCUCCUGCUAAAUUAGUCCCUUUAUUUCAAUAUUGUGACUUUCUUUGUCUCUUUUUGCAGUCUUUGAAUUGAAGUCUAUUUCAUCUAAUAUAAGUACCUAUAAUCCUGAUUUUUUUUGUUUUACAUUAGCAUGGAAUAUCUAUUUUCCAUCAUAUC
rnacentral:lncRNA from 1 species